rnacentral:rRNA from 1 species
GACGACGCUGGCGGCGUGCUUAACACAUGCAAGUCGAGCGAUGAAGCACCUUCGGGUGUGAAUUUAGCGGCGAACGGGUGAGGAACACGUGAGAAAUCUGCCUUCAACUCUGGGGAUAACUCCGUGAAAAACGGGGGCUAAUACCGGAUAUGAAACCUGCGGGCAUCCCGAGGUGUGGAAAGAAUUUCGGUCAAGGAUGAGCUCGCGGCCUAUCAGCUUGUUGGUGAGGUAAAAGCUCACCAAGGCGACGACGGGUAGCCGGCCUGAGAGGGCGACCGGCCACACCUGGGACUGAGACACGGCCCAGACUCCUACGGGAGGCAGCAGUGGGGAAUAUUGGGCAAUGGAGGAAACUCUGACCCAGCGACGCCGCGUGAGGGAUGAAGGCCUUCGGGUUGUAAACCUCUUCAGUAGGGAAGAAGCGAAAGUGACGGUACCUACAGAAGAAGCACCGGCUAACUAUGUG